UUGUUUUAUAUGUAUAUAUAUUUAUGAAUAUAUACACGCAUAUACUUAUUAAUAUAGAAUACACAUAAUAUAUACUAUAUAUUUCAUAAAUAUACGUAAUAUAUACCAUAUAUUUCAUUAUAUAUAUAAAGUUAUGUGUUAUGAUGGAGCAUGUGCUCAGAGAAAAAUAAUCACAUUUAUUCUUUUUAUAGCGAAACACACAGAAAGCAGAAUGGUAAUAAAUAUGAAUUCAGAAGUUAAUGAAUUAUAAAACAGAACGAUUUGCAGCAUUGGUGAAUUCAUUUGGCCAGUUCUAUGAAACUGAUGUCCAUCAAGAUUCAUCCAAAAAAAGAAAUAGGAAAACAUUGAAGAUGGUCACACAAUUCGUAGUUGCCUGGAGAUUCUGCUCUCUUGUUCUUUUGGAUCGCUAAACAUGGCUUGCCUUGAACAUUCUAUUAUUGAAGAAGUAGAUUUACUGAUCAUGGGCAGUCCUGACAACUGCAGAUCUCUUUCGCAAAGGCAGACCUUGCCCUGUGAGAUUGUCAUGAGGAGGAGCUAGCAGGCUAGCUCAGAAAAGAGAGAGAAUGAAAGUUAUCUUACCAGAGGCUCCUCCACAGGAUGACAUGAGGUGAGUUUGUAACACCAAAAAGGCUUAUCACAAUACAAUAUCAUCUUUUUAGCUCCACCUCAAAGCCAAAACUACUUAGUGUGGCAUAGCCAAUGAGGC
rnacentral:lncRNA from 1 species